rnacentral:rRNA from 1 species
UAGUGGCGAACGGGUGAGUAACACGUGGGCAAUCUGCCCUUCACUCUGGGACAAGCCCUGGAAACGGGGUCUAAUACCGGAUAACACUUUUCCCUGCAUGGGGGAGGGUUGAAAGCUCCGGCGGUGAAGGAUGAGCCCGCGGCCUAUCAGCUUGUUGGUGGGGUGAUGGCCUACCAAGGCGACGACGGGUAGCCGGCCUGAGAGGGCGACCGGCCACACUGGGACUGAGACACGGCCCAGACUCCUACGGGAGGCAGCAGUGGGGAAUAUUGCACAAUGGGCGGAAGCCUGAUGCAGCGACGCCGCGUGAGGGAUGACGGCCUUCGGGUUGUAAACCUCUUUCAGCAGGGAAGAAGCGUGAGUGACGGUACCUGCAGAAGAAGCGCCGGCUAACUACGUGCCAGCAGCCGCGGUAAUACGUAGGGCGCAAGCGUUGUCCGGAAUUAUUGGGCGUAAAGAGCUCGUAGGCGGCUUGUCGCGUCGGAUGUGAAAGCCCGGGGCUCAACCCCGGGUCUGCAUUCGAUACGGGCAGGCUGGAGUGUGGUAGGGNAGAUCGGAAUUCCU